CCAUUUGUAGGUUAAUAAAACCGAAGACUUGUGGCGUCUUAAAUUUCUUUUUAUGAACGAGUGGU
rnacentral:tRNA from 1 species